rnacentral:rRNA from 1 species
UACGUAGGUGACCAGCGUUGUCCGGAUUUACUGGGCGUAAAGAGCGCGCAGGCGGUCGUUCAAGUCGAGUGUGAAAGCCCCCGGCUCAACUGGGGAGGGUCAUUCGAUACUGAUCGACUUGAAGGCAGGAGAGGGAAGCGGAAUUCCCGGUGUAGUGGUGAAAUGCGUAGAGAUGUGGAGGAACACCAGUGGCGAAGGCGACUCUCUGGUCUGUAACUGACGCUGAGGAGCGAAAGCGUGGGGAGCAAACAGG